UUGAAACUAUUUACGAUGACAAAGUGUCUUUCCCAUAAGACCUGGUGUGCAAUGGUGGCAAACUGCAGUCUCCUGAGUUAUGUAUGAAGCCUGUUGCCUAUAUGUAUUGCCCUAUGGGACCCUGGAGAGAAUU